rnacentral:rRNA from 1 species
GUGUCAGCAGCCGCGGUAAAACCAGCACCUCAAGUGGUCAGGAGGAUUAUUGGGCCUAAAGCAUCCGUAGCCUGUUCUGUAAGUUUUCGGUUAAAUCCACUAGCUCAACUAGUGGGCUGCCGAAAAUACUGUAGAACUAGGGAGUGGGAGAGGUAGACGGUAUUCGGUAGGAAGGGGUAAAAUCCUUUGAUCUAUUGAGGACCACCUGUGGCGAAGGCGGUCUACCAGAACACGUUCGACGGUGAGGGAUGAAAGCUGGGGGAGCAAACCGGAUUAGAUACCCGGGUAGUCCCAGCUGUAAACGAUGCAGACUCGGUGAUGCCCUGGCUUGUGGCCAGUGCAGUGCCGCAGGGAAGCCGUUAAGUUUGCCGCCUGGGAAGUACGUACGCAAGUAUGAAACUUAAAGGAAUUGGCGGGGGAGCACCACAAGGGGUGAAGCCUGCGGUUCAAUUGGAGUCAACGCCAGAAAUCUUACCCGAAGAGACAGCAGAAUGAAGGUCAAGCUGGAGACUUUACCAGACAAGCUGAGAAGUGGUGCAUGGCCGUCGCCAGCUCGUGCCGUGAGAUGUCCUGUUAAGUCAGGUAACGAGCGAGAUCCCUGCCUCUAGUUGCCACCAUUACUCUCAGGAGUAGUGGGGCGAAUUAGCGGGACCGCCGCAGCUAAUGCGGAGGAAGGAAGGGGCCACGGCAGGUCAGUAUGCCCUGAAACUUUGGGGCCACACGCGGGCUGCAAUGGUAGCGACAAUGGGUUCCGAAUCCGAAAGGAGGAGGCAAUCCUCAAACGCUACCACAGUUAUGAUUGAGGGCUGCAACUCGCCCUCAUGAAUAUGGAAUCCCUAGUAACUGCGUGUCAUUACCGCGCAGUGAAUACGUCCCUGCUCCUUGCACACACUGCCCGUC